rnacentral:tRNA from 1 species
AUCUUUAUAGUUUAAAAAAAAAACAUUACACUGAAAAUGUAAAAAUAUUAUUUUAAAGAUA